GAGUUUGAUCCUGGCUCAGGAUGAACGCUGGCGGCGUGCCUAAUACAUGCAAGUCGAGCGAACAGAUAAGGAGCUUGCUCCUUUGACGUUAGCGGCGGACGGGUGAGUAACACGUGGGUAACCUACCUAUAAGACUGGAAUAACUCCGGGAAACCGGGGCUAAUGCCGGAUAAUAUUUAGAACCGCAUGGUUCUAAAGUGAAAGAUGGUUUUGCUAUCACUUAUAGAUGGACCCGCGCCGUAUUAGCUAGUUGGUGGGGUAAUGGCUUACCAAGGCAACGAUACGUAGCCGACCUGAGAGGGUGAUCGGCCACACUGGAACUGAGACACGGUCCAGACUCCUACGGGAGGCAGCAGUAGGGAAUCUUCCGCAAUGGGCGAAAGCCUGACGGAGCAACGCCGCGUGAGUGAUGAAGGUCUUCGGAUCGUAAAGCUCUGUUAUUAGGGAAGAACAAAUGUGUAAGUAACUGUGCACGUCUUGACGGUACCUAAUCAGAAAGCCACGGC
rnacentral:rRNA from 1 species